GACGAACGCUGGCGGCGUGCUUAACACAUGCAAGUCGAACGGAAAGGCCCUGCUUUUGUGGGGUGCUCGAGUGGCGAACGGGUGAGUAACACGUGAGUAACCUGCCCUUGACUUUGGGAUAACUUCAGGAAACUGGGGCUAAUACCGGAUAGGAGCUCCUGCUGCAUGGUGGGGGUUGGAAAGUUUCGGCGGUUGGGGAUGGACUCGCGGCUUAUCAGCUUGUUGGUGGGGUAGUGGCUUACCAAGGCUUUGACGGGUAGCCGGCCUGAGAGGGUGACCGGCCACAUUGGGACUGAGAUACGGCCCAGACUCCUACGGGAGGCAGCAGUGGGGAAUAUUGCACAAUGGGCGGAAGCCUGAUGCAGCAACGCCGCGUGCGGGAUGACGGCCUUCGGGUUGUAAACCGCUUUCGCCUGUGACGAAGCGUGAGUGACGGUAAUGGGUAAAGAAGCACCGGCUAACUACGUGCCAGCAGCCGCGGUGAUACGUAGGGUGCGAGCGUUGUCCGGAUUUAUUGGGCGUAAGGGCUCGUAGGUGGUUGAUCGCGUCGGAAGUGUAAUCUUGGGGCUUAACCCUGAGCGUGCUUUCGAUACGGGUUGACUUGAGGAAGGUAGGGGAGAAUGGAAUUCCUGGUGGAGCGGUGGAAUGCGCAGAUAUCAGGAGGAACACCAGUGGCGAAGGCGGUUCUCUGGGCCUUUCCUGACGCUGAGGAGCGAAAGCGUGGGGAGCGAACAGGCUUAGAUACCCUGGUAGUCCACGCUGUAAACGGUGGGUACUAGGUGUGGGGUCCAUUCCACGGGUUCCGCGCCGUAGCUAACGCUUUAAGUACCCCGCCUGGGGAGUACGGCCGCAAGGCUAAAACUCAAAGGAAUUGACGGGGCCCCGCACAAGCGGCGGAGCAUGCGGAUUAAUUCGAUGCAACGCGUAGAACCUUACCUGGGUUUGACAUGGAUCGGGAGUGCUCAGAGAUGGGUGUGCCUCUUUUGGGGUCGGUUCACAGGUGGUGCAUGGCUGUCGUCAGCUCGUGUCGUGAGAUGUUGGGUUAAGUCCCGCAACGAGCGCAACCCUUGUUCACUGUUGCCAGCACGUUAUGGUGGGGACUCAGUGGAGACCGCCGGGGUCAACUCGGAGGAAGGUGGGGAUGACGUCAAGUCAUCAUGCCCCUUAUGUCCAGGGCUUCACGCAUGCUACAAUGGCUGGUACAGAGAGUGGCGAGCCUGUGAGGGUGAGCGAAUCUCGGAAAGCCGGUCUCAGUUCGGAUUGGGGUCUGCGACUCGACCUCAUGAAGUCGGAGUCGCCAGUAAUCGCAGAUCAGCAACGCUGCGGUGAAUACGUUCCCGGGGCU
rnacentral:rRNA from 1 species